GACGAACCGUGCGAACGUUGUUCGGAAUCACUGGGCGUAAAGCGCGCGUAGGCGGAUCGCUAAGUCAGGGGUGAAAUCCCAGGGCUCAACCCUGGAACUGCCUUUGAUACUGACGAUCUGGAGAUCGGGAGAGGUUGGUGGAAUUCCGAGUGUAGAGGUGAAAUUCGUAGAUAUUCGGAGGAACACCAGAAGCGAAGGCGGCCAACUGGCCCGAUACUGACGCUGAGGCGCGAAAGCGU
rnacentral:rRNA from 1 species